rnacentral:rRNA from 1 species
GAUGAACGCUGGCGGCGUGCCUAAUACAUGCAAGUCGAGCGAACAGACGAGGAGCUUGCUCCUCUGACGUUAGCGGCGGACGGGUGAGUAACACGUGGAUAACCUACCUAUAAGACUGGGAUAACUUCGGGAAACCGGAGCUAAUACCGGAUAAUAUAUUGAACCGCAUGGUUCAAUAGUGAAAGACGGUUUUGCUGUCACUUAUAGAUGGAUCCGCGCCGCAUUAGCUAGUUGGUAAGGUAACGGCUUACCAAGGCAACGAUGCGUAGCCGACCUGAGAGGGUGAGCGGCCACACUGGAACUGAGACACGGUCCAGACUCCUACGGGAGGAAGCAGUAGGGAAUCUUCCGCAAUGGGCGAAAGCUUGACGGAGCAACGCCGCGUGAGUGAUGAAGGUCUUCGGAUCGUAAAACUCCGUUAUUAGGGAAGAACAAAUGUGUAAGUAACUAUGCACGUAUUGACGGUACCUAAUCAGAAAGCCACGGCUAACUACGUG